rnacentral:tRNA from 1 species
GCGCCCGUAGCUCAGCUGGAUAGAGUACCUGGCUACGAACUAGGGGGUCGGGAGUUCGAAUCUCUCCGGGCGCACCA